AGAUUGAACGCUGGCGGCAUGCCUAACACAUGCAAGUCGAACGGGAGUAGCAAUACUCUAGUGGCGGACGGGUGAGGAAUACGUAGGAAUUUGCCCUUAAGUGGGGGAUAACCCGGGGAAACCCGGAUUAAUACCGCAUGACCUCGAAAGAGCAAAGUGGGGGAUCGCAAGACCUCACGCUUUUGGAGAAGCCUACGUCGGAUUAGCUAGUUGGUGAGGUAAUGGCUCACCAAGGCGAACGAUCCGUAACUGGUCUGAGAGGAUGAUCAGUCACACCGGAACUGAGACACGGUCCGGACUCCGUAACGGAGGCAG
rnacentral:rRNA from 1 species